ACUUGUUCUUUAAAUGAGGACUAGUAUGAACGGCAUCACGAGGGUUACACUGUCUCCCACCUCUAAUCAGUUAAACUGAUCUCCCCGUGAAGAAGCGGGGAUAUAAAUAUAAGACGAGAAGACCCCAUGGAGCUUUAAACCCAGCACCAAUUAUCUAUAAUCACAUCAUAAAAGCCCGAUAAUACUGGCUGCCGGUUUUAGGUUGGGGUGACCACGGAGUACAACACAACCUCCAUGAUGAAAGGCUCUCCCUUUAAUCCAAGAGUUACAACUCUAAGAAUCAAAAACUGACAUACAUUGACCCAAAUAUUUUGAUCAACGAACCAAGUUACCCUGGGGAUAACAGCGCAAUCCAUUUCAAGAGCUCCUAUCGACAAAUGGGUUUACG
rnacentral:rRNA from 1 species